rnacentral:rRNA from 1 species
GAGCAUGGCUCAGGACGAACGCUGGCGGCGCGCCUAACACAUGCAAGUCGAACGGAGUUUACAGGCAGAAGUUUUCGGAUGGAAGCUUGUAAACUUAGUGGCGGACGGGUGAGUAACACGUGAGCAACCUGCCUAUCAGAGGGGGAUAACGAUUGGAAACGAUCGCUAAUACCGCAUGACAUAGCGGAACCGCAUGGUUCUGUUAUCAAAGAUUUUAUCGCUGAUAGAUGGGCUCGCG